UUUCCAUUGUUCAGUUUUAUUUUCUACAGAAAAUUUCACUGUUGUGCACUACAAUAUCAAUUCAUAAGAAUAAAAAGCCUUCUGAUCAUCAGAACUAGACCAUCCACUUCAGUCUGGAUAUAUGUUCUCAAGCUGCUGCCUUACAAUAGAAGACUGGAUACUGAAAACAUGUGGGCAUGCGCAUAACUCAAUAAAUAUAGUUCACUUUGCAUGUUUUGGACAUAAUCCACCAGAUCAUCUACAUUUAAAGCAGAAAAUUGCAAUAAGAGAGGUGGUUGGAUAGAAUGAGAAGAUAUUGUUUAAGAGAGCAAUAGAUAAGUGACAUGGACAACUAUUGGCAACAACAGUUCGACCUCUGUAAGAAGACUUCAAGACUCAUUCUAAAGAAAUCUUAAUUAAAGAUGUAGAGUUG
rnacentral:lncRNA from 1 species